rnacentral:rRNA from 1 species
CAGCAGCCGCGGUAAUACGAAGGGGGCUAGCGUUGCUCGGAAUGACUGGGCGUAAGGCGUGCGCAGGCGGUUUCUUAAGUCUGACGUGAAAGCCCCCGGCUCAACCGGGGAGGGUCAUUGGAAACUGGGAAACUUGAGUGCAGAAGAGGAGAGUGGAAUUCCACGUGUAGCGAUGAAAUGCGUAGAGAUGUGGAGGAACACCAGUGGCGAAGGCGACUCUCUGGUCUGUAACUGACGCUGAGGAGCGAAAGCGUGGGGAGCGAACAGGAUUAGAUACCCCCGUAGUCCCUGUCUCUUAUAC